CAUUUUAGUUUCAAGCAUAUUUCUUUUGUUGCAACUUGCAACCCCAAAAACUUUUAGAGACAAAAUUUACCAUGUACUCGAAUUUUUUGUUUUAGUUCUGCCGUUGCUGGAGCUUUGCAACAAUGAGAGAGAGAAGCUACGGAUGGGGAAGCUAGAAGCGGUGGCUGAACAAAACUCAUCGGCGGCCAAAGCAUUUGGCAACCAAUUUCUUUCGUUUUUUGGUUUAUCAGCAAUCCACAUCGGGGUGGUGUCUCUAUUCAUGGUGAGGUUCGUGGCACUGUCAAUGGUGGUUUUUAGCUCCAACAAGGAAACAUUGACCAGAUUCACAGAAAAGAAACAAAUUUAUUGGCUUAUAGCAGCAGUAGCAGCAGAGUCAUCAUCGCGACGAGCUUCCCCAUCAACACCGUCGUCAUUGUUGUUCAACUUCUUGUUGAAUUCGACGUCAUAAACAUGACCCAUUUUGACACGUUUGGUCUCCAAGUACUUCUUGUUAUCAUUUGUAAUCAAUGAUAACACCGGGACCCUGCCAGAAAUUGACAAGCCAUGACCUUUGAGCCCAAUAAACUUUGUAGGGUUGUUUGUCAUUAGCUUCAUAGAACGGACACCCAAGUCCUUCAGUAUCUGCAAAAAAAGGGGGGAGAAAAACAUCAGAGUCCAUACAAGAACUAUAAAGAAAGGCACAAGAAUGGGUCCAGAUAAGUCACUCUAUUCCUUCUUGUACCAAAAUAUGUGAGAAUCAUAGAAUACAAAGAUCAUUGUUUUAGCUUUUCUUUAAAAUGCAAAAACUAUGGAAAUGGAAAUUGAAAAGUCUAACAACAAUUUCAGAUUCAAA